CCCCUUGUGGUGUAGUUGGCUAUCACGUUCGGCUGUAAUUAUACCGAAAGGUCACCGGCUCGAUUCCGGUCGAGGGGA
rnacentral:tRNA from 1 species